UAGACAGGGUUUCUCUGUGUAGUCUUGGAUUGGUCCAAGACUGUCCUGGAUUGGCUUUGUAGACUAGGCUGGCCUUGAACUCACAGUGACCCCCCUCCAGAAUGCUGCGAUUACAGGCAUGUGCCACCACGCCCAGCUUCUUUCACCUUUCUGAAGUAUACUAUCGCUCCAAUGUCUUUUAGACUCUGUGGUCUCUGAUGAGAAAUCCACGAUGGUUUCCCUGUAUAGAAUGUAUUAUUUUUUAGUAGUUGCCCUUAAGACUUUUUUUGUGGUUGUUGUAUAAAGUGUCUAGGAACUUAGAAAAAUUAUUUUGCUUGAGAAUGGCUGACUAUCUUAAAUCUAUAUACUUCCAUUUUUCAGCAAAUUUUCAAAGUUUUCAUCCUUUAUUUCUUCAAAUACCUCGUCUUCUCAAUUUUUAACCUCUUAGUCUUAGAUUCUAAUGGUAUGUAUAUCUGGCCUUGACUUUUGGUAGUCUUAUCAGUAAAAGUUAAUCAGAGAAACAGAACAAUAGGAUCUAUCUAUCUAUCUAUCUAUCUAUCUAUCUAUCUAUCUAUGUAUCUAUCUAUCUAUCUAUCUAUCUAUCUAUCUAUCUAUCUAUGUAUCUAUCUAUCUAUGUAUCUAUCAGAGAGGCUUCUGUACCAUCGUUGAAAGCCACGGUGGAGCAUAGCUAUUCAGCUCUGAGCAGCUAGGAAGCAGGGUGGGGUAACAGGCAGGGGCCAGGGCAAGAGACUACCUUUGAAGACACAGUAUCAGUUACCUUCUUCCUCCACCGAGGCCUCGCCCCCACAGCUCCACCAUCUCCCAACAGUCCAUUUGAACUUUUAGUCCAUCUGUGGAGUGAACCAUCAAUGAGAUCAGAGACCUGGUGAUCUUUAGAAAAACCCUCACACACAUACCCAGAGGGGUGCUUUACUGAUUCCCUAGGUAUUAUUCACCUAGUCACCGACAGUGAUGAUUAUCCAUUACCCCAGGGGAGCCAUCGAUGAAAGCCUUCCUCUGAAUCCAAUGCUCCAAGGACCACAAGCCAUACCUGUGAGAAGAAUAGGAGUGCACAGCUGGAUAGGAAGCUCCCGCAGCUCUGUGUCUUGUUUGUUUGUUUUGCUUUGUUUUGCAGUGCUGUGGAUCAAGCCCAAGGCCUCGGCACAUGACAGACAAGCACGCUACCUCCUGGUUCUACUUCCCACCACCAAACGGAGCAGAUCUGCCCUUCCUCUCUUCUUCUGUUCCAUGAUCACACCUCCACAAACACCCUCGGAAAUCUUCCAGCAGCUCUUCCCGGUGAUGCGUCUUUCUUAGGAGCUUUGCUGGCGCCCAGGAGUUUCUUCUCAGAACACAGGAGGGUACAAUGAUCCUGUAAGAAGUUCCCUCUGAACCUAUCUUGCUGCCUAAUUUUCAGGAUUUCUGUUGGGGAAAAGAAUCUACUAUCCUUGUCUCAAAGGUCUGUUUUAGUUUACAUUUUCUGUGUCAAAUAGAACAAUAAAAUGGAUCACAAUAGUUCCUACUCUUUGGAACCGUCACUUUGAAAGACCCCUGCCUCACCCUAAGUUAAACAUAGCUAACGCCAUUUUGUGGGACACCACUGUUUUGUAAAACUCUGAAGGCUAGAUGGGAAACUGGAAAAUUACUAAGAAACCCCCAGCUGUGUCACCCACUUGGGAUAUCUGUGGUCAGGCUGCCCCAGUCAAACUAAAAACAGUUUGUGUUAAUCACCCUCAUGGAUAUCUGUGAGACUGUUCCAGUUAAGAUAAGGGUCCUAAGGAAAACAACAGGUGACGGGCCACGUCAAGGGGUCAUCAUGACCAUUUUGACCACCCAGUUCCUGAAAUCUUGGUGUCCCUGCCAAACUCUGACUCAAAUUGUGGUCUCAUUUGAAUGUACCAAUCAGCCCCCUGUAACUAUGCUUCUCGCUUCUGUACUCACGCUUCUGCUCUAAAACCCUAUAAAAACCCCAGCUUUCCACCCAGGUGGGGCGCGCAAAGUCCUCCGAGUGACUCUGCUGCCCCGGGUACCCGUGUAUCAAAAUAAAAGCCUCUUGCUGUUUGCA